rnacentral:rRNA from 1 species
GACGAACGCUGGCGGCGUGCCUAACACAUGCAAGUCGAACGAGGUCCAUCCUUCGGGAGAAGACCUAGUGGCGAACGGGUGAGUAACACGUGAAGAACCUGCCCCGAAGACCGGGAUAACCCUCCGAAAGGAGAGCUAAUACCGGAUACCCCCACCGAACCGCAUGGUUUGGUGAGGAAAUGGAUUCCGCUUCGGGAGGGCUUCGCGGCCUAUCAGCUAGUUGGUGGGGUAACGGCCCACCAAGGCAUCGACGGGUAGCUGGUCUGAGAGGACGAUCAGCCACACUGGGACUGAGACACGGCCCAGACUCCUACGGGAGGCAGCAGUGGGGAAUCUUGCGCAAUGGGCGAAAGCCUGACGCAGCAACGCCGCGUGGGGGAUGAAGGCUCUCGGAUUGUAACCCCUUCAGCAGGGACGAAUCAAGACGGUACCU